rnacentral:piRNA from 7 species
UGGUUAGCACUCUGGACUUUGAAUC